GACUACUGGGGUAUCUAAUCCCAUUCGCUCCCCUAGCUUUCGUCCAUGAGUGUCAGUUGCGGCCUAGCAGAGCGCUUUCGCCACCGGUGUUCUUCCCAAUCUCUACGCAUUUCACCGCUACACUGGGAAUUCCCUCUGCCCCCACCGCACUCUAGCUGUGUAGUUUCCACUGCCUGUUCAGGGUUGAGCCCUGACCUUUGACAGCAGACUUACACGGCCACCUGCGGACGCUUUACGCCCAAUCAUUCCGGAUAACGCUUGCAUCCUCCGUAUUACCGCGGCUGCUGGCACGGAGUUAGCCGAUGCUGAUUCCUCAGGUACCGUCAUUGUGUUCUUCCCUGAGAAAAGAGGUUUACGACCCAAGAGCCUUCCUCCCCCACGCGGUAUUGCUCCGUCAGGCUUGCGCCCAUUGCGGAAAAUUCCCCACUGCUGCCUCCCGUAGGAGUCUGGGCCGUGUCUCAGUCCCAGUGUGACUGGUCAUCCUCUCAGACCAGUUACUGAUCGGAGCCUUGGUAGGCCUUUACCCUACCAACUAGCUAAUCAGACGCGAGCUCAUCAAAAGGCGGGUUACCCCUUUUCACUUUCUGGCAUAUCUGGUAUUAGCAGCCGUUUCCAGCUGUUGUCCCAGUCCUUUAGGCAGAUUCUCACGCGUUACUCACCCGUCCG
rnacentral:rRNA from 1 species